rnacentral:rRNA from 1 species
CCUACGGGUGGCAGCAGUGAGGAAUAUUGGUCAAUGGGAGGAAGCCUGAACCAGCCAAGCAGCGUGCAGGACGACGGCUCUACGAGUUGUAAACUGCUUUUGUACCGGGGUAAAAUGCUCUACGAGUAGGGUUUUGAAUGUACGGUACGAAUAAGGAUCGGCUAACUCCGUGCCAGCAGCCGCGGUAAUACGGAGGAUCCGAGCGUUAUCCGGAUUUAUUGGGUUUAAAGGGAGCGUAGGUGGUUUGAUAAGUUAGUGGUGAAAGUUUGAGGCUCAACAUCGGGGUUGCAGCUGAUACUGUAAGACGAGAGAUCGGUUGCGGCAGGCGGAAUGCGUGGUGUAGCGGUGAAAUGCUUAGAUAUUACGCAGAACUCCGAUUGCGAAGGCAGCUUGCUGGGCCGGAUCUGACACUGAUGCACGAAAGCGUGGGUAUCGAACAGGAUUAGAUACCCUAGUAGUC